rnacentral:sRNA from 1 species
CUUCUUCGAUCUGCUGCGGGCAGAUAAAGUGGAUAUGGGUAUCGAUGCCACCGGCAGUGACAAUCAUGCCUUCGCCGGCAAUGAUUUCAGUUGCCGCGCCAAUCACCAGGGUGACGCCAGGCUGAAUGUCCGGGUUGCCCGCCUUGCCGAUACCGGCAAUCCGCCCGCCCUUCAGGCCGAUAUCGGCCUUGACGAUGCCCCAGUGGUCCAGAAUCAGCGCAUUGGUGAUCACCGUGUCCAUCACCUCGGCGGCCAGCGCCUGGCCCUGACCCAUGCCGUCGCGGAU